rnacentral:rRNA from 1 species
UUGAACGCUGGCGGCCGGCCUAACACAUGCAAGUCGAGCGGAUGAAGGGAGCUUGCUCCUGGAUUCAGCGGCGGACGGGUGAGUAAUGCCUAGGAAUCUGCCUGGUAGUGGGGGAUAACGUCCGGAAACGGGCGCUAAUACCGCAUACGUCCUGAGGGAGAAAGUGGGGGAUCUUCGGACCUCACGCUAUCAGAUGAGCCUAGGUCGGAUUAGCUAGUUGGUGGGGUAAAGGCCUACCAAGGCGACGAUCCGUAACUGGUCUGAGAGGAUGAUCAGUCACACUGGAACUGAGACACGGUCCAGGCUCCUACGGGAGGCAGCAGUGGGGAAUGUUGGACAGUGGGCGAAAGCCUGAUCCAGCCGUGCCGCGUGUGUGAAGGAGGUCUUCGGAUUGUAAAGCACGUUAAGUUGGGAGGAAGGGCAGUAAGUUAAUACCUUGCUGUUUUGACGUUACCAACAGAAUAAGCACCGGCUAACUUCGUG